rnacentral:rRNA from 1 species
GAUGAACGCUAGCGGCAGGCUUAAUACAUGCAAGUCGAGGGGUAGCAAGAUUGUAGCAAUACAAUUGUUGACGACCGGCAAACGGGUGCGGAACACGUACACAACCUUCCUACAAGUGGGGAAUAGCCCAGAGAAAUUUGGAUUAAUACCCCGUAACAUAGCGAUGUGGCAUCACAUUGCUAUUAUAGCUUCGGCGCUUGUUGAUGGGUGUGCGGCUGAUUAGAUAGUUGGCGGGGUAACGGCCCACCAAGUCUACGAUCAGUAGCUGAUGUGAGGGCAUGAUCAGCCACACGGGCACUGAGACACGGGCCCGACUCCUACGGGAGGCAGCAGUAAGGAAUAUUGGACAAUGGACGCAAGUCUGAUCCAGCCAUGCCGCGUGAAGGAUUAAGGUCCUCUGGAUUGUAAACUUCUUUUAUAAGGGACGAAAAAAGGUCUUUCUAGAUCGUCUGACGGUACCUUAUGAAUAAGCACCGGCUAACUCCGUGCCAGCAGCAGCCGCCGUAA